rnacentral:rRNA from 1 species
CCUACGGGAGGCAGCAGUAGGGAAUCUUCGGCAAUGGACGAAAGUCUGACCGAGCAACGCCGCGUGAGUGAAGAAGGUUUUCGGAUCGUAAAACUCUGUUGAUAGAGAAGAACGUUGGUGAGAGUGGAAAGCUCAUCAAGUGACGGUAACUACCCAGAAAGCGACGGCUAACUACGUACCAGCAGCGGCGGUAAUAAGUAGGUCCCUAGCGUUGUCGGGUUUUAUUGGGCGAAAGGCUAGGGCAGGUGGUUUAUUAAGUCUGGUGUAAAAGGCAGUGGCUAAACCAUUGUAUGCAUUGGAAACUGGUAGACUUGAGUGCAGGUGAGGAGAGUGGAAUUCCAGGUGUAGCGGUGAAAUGCGUAGAUAUAUGGAAGAACACCGAUGGCGAAGGCGGCUCUCUGGCCUGUAACUGACACUGAGGCUCGAAAGCGUGGGGAGCAAACAGGAUUAGAUACCCCAGUAGUC